rnacentral:rRNA from 1 species
CCAAUAGCGUAUAUUAAAGUUGUUGCAGUUAAAAAGCUCGUAGUUGAAUUUCGGGAUCAAGGAAUCGGUCAUGCCUCGGUAUGUACUGGUUUUAUUGGUUCUCACCUUCUAAAGAACCAUAAUGUCAUUUAUUUGAUGUUAUGGGGAAUUAGGACUGUUACCUUGAAAAAAUUAGAGUGUUUAAAGCAAGCUCACGCUUGAAUACAUUAGCAUGGAAUAAUGAAAUAGGACGUUCGAUCCUAUUUUGUUGGUUUCUAGGAUUGACGUAAUGAUUAAUAGGGAUAGUUGGGGGCAUUAGUAUUCAAUUGUCAGAGGUGAAAUUCUUGGAUUUAUUGAAGACUAACUACUGCGAAAGCAUUUGCCAAGGAUGUUUUCAUUAAUCAAGAACGAAAGUUAGGGGAUCGAAGACGAUCAGAUACCGUCGUAGUCUUAACCAUAAACUAUGCCGACUAGGGAUCGGAUGAUGUUAAUUUUUUAAUGACUCAUUCGGCGCCUUACG